AGUGAACGCUGGCGGUAGGCCUAACACAUGCGAGUCGAACGGUAGCACAGUAAGAGCUUGCUCUUACGGGUUGCGAGUGGCGGGCGUGUCAGGAAUACAUCGGAAUCUACUCCUUCGUGUGGCAUAACGAAGGGAAACUUACGCUAAUACCGCAUACGACCUUCGGGUGAAAGCAGGGGAUCUUCGGACCUUGCGCGAUUGAAUGAGCCGAUGUCGGUUUAGUUAGUUGGCGGGGUAAUGGCCCACCAGGGCGACGAUCCGUAGCUGGUCUGGGAGGCUGAUCAGCCACCCUGGAACUGAGACACGGUCCAGCGUCCUACGGGACGCAGCAGUGGGGAAUAUUGGACAAUGGGCGCAAGCCUGAUACAGUCAUACCGCGUGGGUGAAGGAGGCCUUCGGGUUGUAGAGCCCUUUUGUUGGUAAGGAAAAGCUGCAGGUUAAUACAUCGCUGUUGUGACGGUACCGGAUGAAUAAGCACCGGCUAACUACGUG
rnacentral:rRNA from 1 species